GAAGUCGUGGCCGAGUGGUUAAGGCGAUAGACUAGAAAUCCAUUGGGGUCUCGCCGCACAGGUUCGAAUCCUGUCGACUGCG
rfam:Ixodes scapularis strain Wikel colony gcontig_1108379389376, whole genome shotgun sequence.